GGUUCAGGAUGAACGCUAGCGAUAGGCUUAACACAUGCAAGUCGAGGGGCAGCACGGUGUAGCAAUACACUGGUGGCGACCGGCGUACGGGUGCGUAACACGUAUGCAACCUACCCGCUAUUGGGGGAUAACCCGGCGAAAGUCGGACUAAUAUCCCAUAUUAUUCUUACCGGGCAUCCGGUGAGUCUGAAAGAUUUAUCGAUUGCGGAUGGGCAUGCGGAUGAUUAGCUAGUAGGUGGGGUAACGGCUCACCUAGGCGACGAUCAUUAGGGGUUCUGAGAGGAAGGUCCCCCACACUGGAACUGAGACACGGUCCAGACUCCUACGGGAGGCAACAGUGAGGAAUAUUGGUCAAUGGGCGCUAGCCUGAACCAGCCAAGUCGCGUGAAGGAUGAACCAGAUCUAUGGUUUGUAAACUUCUUUUGCAGGGGAGUAAAGUGCGACACGUGUGUUGUAUUGCAAGUACCCUGCGAAUAAGGAUCGGCUAACUCCGUGCCAGCAGCGGC
rnacentral:rRNA from 1 species